UACAGAGGGGGCGAGCGUUGUUCGGAGUUACUGGGCGUAAAGGGCGCGUAGGCGGCCCGCUAAGUCGAACGUGAAAUCCCCAGGCUCAACCUGGGAACUGCGUCCGAUACUGGCAGGCUUGAAUCCGGGAGAGGGAUGUGGAAUUCCAGGUGUAGCGGUGAAAUGCGUAGAGAUGUGGAGGAACACCGAUGGCGAAGGCAGCCCCCUGGGCUAACACUGACGCUCAUGCACGAAAGCGUGGGGAGCAAACAGG
rnacentral:rRNA from 1 species